rnacentral:rRNA from 1 species
AUACGGAGGAUCCGAGCGUUAUCCGGAUUUAUUGGGUUUAAAGGGUGCGCAGGCGGCCAUUUAAGUCAGCGGUUAAAUCGUGGGGCUCAACCCCAUUCUGCCGUUGAUACUGGGUGGCUUGAUUGCGGGCGAGGUUGGCGGAAUUCGUUGUGUAGCGGUGAAAUGCAUAGAUAUGACGAAGAACACCGAUUGCGUAGGCAGCUGACCAGACCGCAAAUGACGCUCAUGCACGAAUGUGCGGGGAUCGAACAGGAUUAGAUACCCUGGUAGUCCGCACAGUAAACGAUGAAUACUUGUUUUCGGCGAUAUAAUGUCGGAGGCAAAGCGAAAGCGAUAAGUAUUCCACCUGGGGAGUACGCCGGCAACGGUGAAAC